rnacentral:tRNA from 1 species
ACUUUUAUUGGACAGCAGCCGUCCG